rnacentral:lncRNA from 1 species
UUUUUUAAUGUAUUAAUAAAAAAUAUAAAACAUAAAGUUUCGUUACUUAUAUUCAUUAAGUGUAUUUUAUAUGCAGCACAAGAUAAUAAUUCUUCAGUCAGUGCGGCCCAGGCAAGCCAGAAGAUUGGACACUUGUGCACUAACUCAAGGACAAAAGAACCAGCUUGGAAUUGGAGAAGAUGUGUAAAUCUACCUGUGGAAUCAGAGGUAAAUUUUAUAGCAUUUUUCUGAAGGUUUCUCUUGAAGAAGACUUGGACAACAGGCAAAAGCUUCCACAAGAAGGAUCAUAAAUUUGUUGCUUGGUAAUGGAUACACAGAUAUGAAGUGGGUAUUGUGUUACUUUCUGAAGUCUUAGCGUUCUCCUGUCCCAGUUCUCAGUGAUCCAUUUUGCUCACCUAAUAGAGCAGUACCGUAUUUAUUUAUCAGCUACAUACAAGAAAGAUGUAGAUUUAGCUCUUUAUUCUUUCAAGCAAUUACUGCUCUUAUUAUGUUA